GCCCUCAUAGCUCAGGUGGUAGAGCGUGCCCUUGGUAAGGGCAAGGUCAUGGGUUCGAAUCCCAUUGGGGGCU
rnacentral:tRNA from 1 species